CCUUUUGUAUAAUGGGUCAGCGACUUAUAUUCUGUAGCAAGGUUAACCGAAUAGGGGAGCCGAAGGGAAACCGAGUCUUAACUGGGCGUUAAGUUGCAGGGUAUAGACCCGAAACCCGGUGAUCUAGCCAUGGGCAGGUUGAAGGUUGGGUAACACUAACUGGAGGACCGAACCGACUAAUGUUGAAAAAUUAGCGGAUGACUUGUGGCUGGGGGUGAAAGGCCAAUCAAACCGGGAGAUAGCUGGUUCUCCCCGAAAGCUAUUUAGGUAGCGCCUCGUGAAUUCAUCUCCGGGGGUAGAGCACUGUUUCGGCAAGGGGGUCAUCCCGACUUACCAACCCGAUGCAAACUGCGAAUACCGGAGAAUGUUAUCACGGGAGACACACGGCGGGUGCUAACGUCCGUCGUGAAGAGGGAAACAACCCAGACCGCCAGCUAAGGUCCCAAAGUCAUGGUUAAGUGGGAAACGAUGUGGGAAGGCCCAGACAGCCAGGAUGUUGGCUUAGAAGCAGCCAUCAUUUAAAGAAAGCGUAAUAGCUCACUGGUCGAGUCGGCCUGCGCG
rnacentral:rRNA from 1 species